AGGGAAUGACCCUCAUACAACCCAAGGAAGAAUCAACUCACUUCUUCAUGAGGAAACGGUUGAUGGUCUUCUGCUUCCGCAUCACCUGGACAAUCUUCCGGUUCAGCUCCCUCAGCUCCUCACCCAAUAACAGCAAAGGCUGGCAGCUCCUGGAGGUCGAAGGGGAAGUCAAGCCGGAACCGGGUUUUGAACAGAGCCGUGAUGGUCUCUGAAGGGAAACAGAGCAGCAGAGGGAGACAGCCAAGACCCGGAAGAUGAAGGCGCUGAAGGUGGCAGCAAAGAAGCCCCGCCAGUAGUUGCGCACCGCAAAGAAGGUGGAG